rnacentral:rRNA from 1 species
AUUACAUAUUACCGAACUUCCGUUAAUUGAUUAUGACGUGCUUGCACUGAAUGAGAUUUUAACACGAAGUGAGUGGCGGACGGGUGAGUAACACGUGCCUAACCUGCCCAGAAGCAGGGGAUAACACCUGGAAACAGAUGCUAAUACCGUAUAACAGAGAAAACCGCCUGGUUUUCUUUUAAAAGAUGGCUCUGCUAUCACUUCUGGAUGGACCCGCGGCGCAUUAGCUAGUUGGUGAGGUAACGGCUCACCAACGCGAUGAUGCGUAGCCGACCUGAGAGGGUAAUCGGCCACAUUGGGACUGAGACACGGCCCAGAGUCCUACGGGAGGCAGCAGUAGGGAAUCUUCCACAAUGGACGCAAGUCUGAUGGAGCAACGCCGCGUGAGUGAAGAAGGGUUUCGGCUCGUAAAGCUCUGUUGUUAAAGAAGAACGUGGGUGAGAGUAACUGUUCACCCAGUGACGGUAUUUAACCAGAAAGCCACGGCUAACUACGUGCCAGCAGCCGCGGUAAUACGUAGGUGGCAAGCGUUAUCCGGAUUUAUUGGGCGUAAAGCGAGCGCAGGCGGUCUUUUAAGUCUAAUGUGAAAGCCUUCGGCUCAACCGAAGAAGUGCAUUGGAAACUGGGAGACUUGAGUGCAGAAGAGGACAGUGGAACUCCAUGUGUAGCGGUGAAAUGCGUAGAUAUAUGGAAGAACACCAGUGGCGAAGCCGGCUGUCUGGUCUGUAACUGACGCUGAGGCUCGAAAGCAUGGCUAGCGAACAGGAUUAGAUACCCUGGUUUACCAUAGGA